rnacentral:sRNA from 1 species
UCCUGGAGCGCAUAAGUGUGGAAGCUUA